GAUGAAGAACGUAGCGAAAUGCGAUAAGUAAUGUGAAUUGCAGAAUUCAGUGAAUCAUCGAAUCUUUGAACGCACAUUGCGCCCCCUGGUAUUCCGGGGGGCAUGCCUGUCCGAGCGUCAUUACAACCCUCAAGCUCAGCUUGGUGUUGGGCCCCGCCGCCCCGGCGGGCCCUAAAGUCAGUGGCGGUGCCGUCCGGGUCCGAGCGUAGUAAUUCUUCUCGCUCUGGAGGUCCGGUCGUGUGCUCGCCAGCAACCCCCAAUUUUUUUCAGGUUGACCUCGGAUCAGGUAGGGAUACCCGCUGAACUUAAGCAUAUCAAUAAGCGGAGGA
rnacentral:misc_RNA from 1 species